rnacentral:rRNA from 1 species
UACGGAGGGUCACAGCGUUAUUCGGAAUAUGGUGCGUAAAGGGCAGGUAGGUGGUCUUGUAAGUCCCCUGUGAAAUCCCUGGGCUUAACCCAGGAAGUGCGGUGGAUACUGCAAGACUAGAGUGCUGGAGGGGUUCGUGGAAUUCCCGGUGUAGCGGUGAAAUGCGUAGAGAUCGUAAGGAAGGCCAGUGGCGAAGGCGAGUUCCUGGACAGUUACUGACGCUGAGGCACGAAGGCCAGGGGAGCAAACGGG